UACGUAGGGGGCAAGCGGUGUCCGGAUUUAUUGGGCGUAAAGAGCGUGUAGGCGGCCAGGUAGGUCUGCUGUGAAAACUCGAGGCUCAACCUCGAGACGUCGGCGGAAACCAUCUGGCUAGAGUCCGGAAGAGGAGAGUGGAAUUCCUGGUGUAGCGGUGAAAUGCGCAGAUAUCAGGAAGAACACCCGUGGCGAAGGCGGCUCUCUGGGACGGUACUGACGCUGAGACGCGAAAGCGUGGGGAGCGAACAGG
rnacentral:rRNA from 1 species